rnacentral:tRNA from 1 species
GAGGUAAUAGCUCAGUGGUAGAGUGUAUGCUUAGCAUGCACAAGGUCCUGGGUUCAGUCCCGUGUACCUCC